rnacentral:rRNA from 1 species
AUGAGUGAUAAGCAGAAGUUAUAUAUUGGAGGCAAGAGAACUACAAUGGUGUCAAUGUUAAAGAACAUUCAUGACAAGAUAUCUCACAUAAUUGUUUCCAAAGAAAAAGAAUCAGAUAAGUGUACUGGGAGACUCUGCCCAAAGAUCCAGAAAAAGCUUGAUAAAUAUGUUGAAUGUGCUGCUCAUUGUAUGGUUCAAAAAGCCGGUAAAGAAGUUUUACAGGUGACAUCUUUCAACAACAUUUAUCUGGUGGAUCUGAAUAUGAAUAGCUGUGAAGGCAAAAAGUGGGAGUUGUCUGCCAUCCCAUGCCAUCAUUCUGUAUAG